CAAAUUUUCUUUCUCAAUGGAAUUAUCUAAAUUUUCUUCUAUUUCGGCCGGUUCUCGCUAUCCUUUUCGUCCUCUCCUUCAUCAUACUCUGGUGGUUGUUGGCAUGGAAGUUAGUCUGGUACACGUGCCACUGGUUCAAGAAAUUUUGGGUCUGAA